CUGAGUUCUAUCUUACAGAGCAGGCCUUGGAAUCAAUCAUAAAGUUGUUGGUUGCUCACAUAACAUCUAUGCCACAAUUGCACCGAUGGACCUACCUCGUCAGGCCAGUCAUUGCUGUAGCUUACGGUGUUCACAGGUUGAGAACCAUGUGAAACAGUUUGAACAUCUGUCUUCUACUUUUCUUCAGGAAGCAUAAAUACAAUCAACCCACAGAAUUAAACUGCCCUGUUGUCAAUCAAUUAUUCAUUCUGGAUCUGCCAACAACCUCUCAUGCAAUGCACUUACAGGCUACUUCUUAUCUUCUCUUGGAAACAAUGUUCUCUUUGGAACAAUUCACGGUAGAAGUUUCAGGACACCAGAACCCUCUCAGCCGCCCUGUUGUGGGUCUCUUUCACUGUUCCUGUCAGCACUACAUAAAAAUCAGAUGUCAUGGAGACCUGGUUGGAAAACAGAGGCUGUGGGAGGUGGUUGAAAUGAGCAUUCUGCUGAUGCCUGUGUCUCCUGGAUGCUUUACCAUUCGCUCCUUGGCAAACUGUGGGCAAGUAGCUCCUUCCUCUGCUUCAACAUUUCCAUGUGAA